UACGUAGGGGGCAAGCGUUGUCCGGAUUUACUGGGCGUAAGGCGCGCGUAGGCGGAACGAUCAGUCCGGUCUGAAAGCCCCCGGCUCAACCGGGGAGGGUGGCUGGAAACUGUCGUUCUUGAGGGCGAGAGAGGAGGGUGGAAUUCCUGGUGUAGCGGUGAAAUGCGUAGAGAUCAGGAGGAGCACCCGUGGCGAAGGCGGCCCUCUGGCUCGACCCUGACGCUGAGGCGCGAAAGCGUGGGGAGCGAACGGG
rnacentral:rRNA from 1 species